UGUGCCUGCUUCAGCAACACAUAACUAAAAUCGGAACAACACGGAGAAGAUUAGCAGGGCCGCUGUGCAAGGAUGACAUACAAAUCAGGAAGAAAUAGAAAAUCUUA